rnacentral:rRNA from 1 species
UACAGAGGUCUCAAGCGUUGUUCGGAUUCAUUGGGCGUAAAGGGUGCGUAGGCGGCGCGGUAAGUCGGGUGUGAAAUUUCGAGGCUUAACUUCGAAACUGCAUUCGAUACUGCCGUGCUUGAGGACUGGAGAGGAGACUGGAAUUUACGGUGUAGCGGUGAAAUGCGUAGAUAUCCGAAGGAACACCGGUAGCGAAAGCGGCGCGCUGGACCUCUUCUGACGCUGAGGCGCGAAAGCCAGGGGAGCAAACGGG